GGCAUGCUUAACACAUGCAAGUCGAACGGUAGCAGACCGCUGGGAUCCCUUCGGGGUGACCUUGGUGCUGACGAGUGGCGGACGGGUGAGGUAACGCGUAGGAAUCUGCCUGGCAGCGGGGGACAACUCCGGGAAACCGGAGCUAAUACCGCAUACGCCCUACGGGGGAAAGAUGGGGAUCUUCGGACCUGUCACUGCCAGAUGAGCCUGCAUUAGAUUAGCUUGUUGGUGGGGUAAUGGCCUACCAAGGCGACGAUCUAUAGCUGGUCUGAGAGGAUGAUCAGCCACACUGGGACUGAGACACGGCCCAGACUCCUACGGGAGGCAGCAGUGGGGAAUAUUGGACAAUGGGCGCAAGCCUGAUCCAGCAAUGCCGCGUGUGUGAAGAAGGCCUUAGGGUUGUAAAGCACUUUCAAUUGGGAAGAAAAGCACAGGAUUAAUACCCCUGUGUCUUGACGGUACCUUUACAAGAAGCACCGGCUAACUCCGUG
rnacentral:rRNA from 1 species